UAUGAGUUCUCCCUGAGACCUUGAGUCUCGUGAAGGAACGUUUAUGACUUUGACGUUGAUAGGUCGGGUUGGUAAGCGCAGCGAUGCGUUGAGCUAACCGAUACUAAUGAACCGUGAGGCUUAACCUU
rnacentral:rRNA from 1 species